rnacentral:rRNA from 1 species
GGAAAACUUACCAGGUCCAGACAUAAUAAGGAUUGACAGAUUGAUAGCUCUUUCUUGAUUUUAUGGGUGGUGGUGCAUGGCCGUUCUUAGUUGGUGGGGUGACUUGUCUGCUCAAUUGCGAUAACGAACGAGACCGCAGCCUGCUAAAUAGGGACAUGUAUCUUCGGAUAUAUGGUUCGACUUCUUAGAGGGACUUUGUGCAAAAAGCGCAAGGAAGUUUGCGGCAAUAA